UUGUAAACCUUUUUUGCCAGGGACGAAGAGAGAUUGACGGUACCUGGUAGAAGAAGGACCGGCCAACUACGUGCCAGCAGCCGCGGUAAUACGUAGGGUCCGAGCGUUGUCCGGAAUUACUGGGCGUAAAUAGCUCGUAGGUGGUUUGUCGCGUUGUUCGUGAAAACUCACAACUCAAUUGUGGGCGUGCGGGCGAUACGGGCAGACUGGAGUACUGCAGGGGAGACUGGAAUUCCUGGUGUAGCGGUGGAAUGCGCUGAUAUCAGGAGGAACACCGGUGGCGAAGGCGGGUCUCUGGGCUGUAACUGACGCUGAGGAGCGUAAGCGUGGGGAGCGAACAGGAUUAGAUACCCUGGUAGUCCACGCCGUAAACGGUGGGUACUAGGUGUGGGUUUCCUUCCUUGGGAUCCGUGCCGUAGCUAACGCAUUAAGUACCCCGCCUGGGGAGUACGGCCGCAAGGCUAAAACUCAAAGGAAUUGACGGGGGCCCGCACAAAGCGGCGGAGCAUGUGGAUUAAUUCGAUGCAACGCUUAGAACUCUUACCUGGGUUUGACAUGCACAGGACGCUGGUAGAGAU
rnacentral:rRNA from 1 species